CCCUUAGAUGUUCUGGGCCGCACGCGCGCUACACUGACGAUGGCAACGAGUUUUUCCUUCGCCGAAAGGUGUGGGUAAUCUUUUGAAACAUCGUCGUGCUGGGGAUAGAUCAUUGCAAAUUUUGAUCUUGAACGAGGAAUUCCUAGUAAGCGCGAGUCAUCAGCUCGCGUUGAUUACGUCCCUGCCCUUUGUACACACCGCCCGUCGCUACUACCGAUUGAAUGGUUUAGUGAGGACUCCUGAUUGGCGCCGCCGCCCCGGCAACGGAGCAGCGGACUGCCGAAAAGUUGUUCAAACUUGAUCAUUUAGAGGAAGUAAAAGUCGUAACA
rnacentral:rRNA from 1 species